GGAUGAUUAAUCAGUAAUUACUGGUCUCUUUCUAGAGGUGAUUUCUCCAUCUUUCUCUCUCUAGAGGUUAUUAAACCAGAAAUGUAAGGAGGAUUCUUUUGGCUGGGGGGACCUACAGCCACGACAGCAUAGACAGAGUGAAGUGACGUCUUUCCAACUCUCAGGAGCUCAUUGAUGCCUGCAAAUACGGUAUUUUUUAUGCACUUUAUUCUUAUAUUUAAACUUGGUUUUAACCCAUUUGUAAUUUGAUGAACAUGGGGUGAGCUCAAGGAUUACUGUCUGAAAAUCUGCAGUUUUGGAGUUCCAUUUAAUGGAUCCUCUCUCUCUCUCUCNNNNNNNNNNNNNNNNNNNNCUCUCUCUCUCUCUCUCUCUCUCUCUCUCUCUCUCUCUCUCUCUCUCUCUCUCUCUCUCUCUCUCUCUCUCUCUCUCUCUUGGCAGCACUGUCUUUCCCUUAUUAGGGCUUCCUUCCAUGCAUGUGUUAUUGACACAUUGGUCAGCAACAUAGCCACAUUUUUCUCAUUGGAAUCAACUUCUGUUUAUGUGGUUUAUAAGUUAUUUCUUUAGUUUUUUCAUCACAAGGUUUCUCUGUGUGGUUACUAAGUUAUUUUUUGAGAUUUUUCAUCUCAAGGUUUUAGAAGAUGGUGUUUAUUGAAUGUGCAGUACAUAGGUAUCCUAGGCCUCUUUUACGGUAGGGUUGGAUCUAAUUUUGGCAUCAACUAUAAAGAUCUUAUCACUUUACUGGUUGAGGAGAUUGUGCCUUUCUGGCCUUUACUUCUAAAGGGAUUGUCCUUUAAUGUGGGGCAUGCAGUACAUAUAGCUUUGAAUAGGGGUUUACACUAAGCUUCCCCAUUACCCAUGGUGACCAACCAACAAAAAAUUAUUACUUGACUUAUUCACAAUAAAGGGCAAUUCUUUGAAUGUUAUCUGAUAACAAUACAAAAAAUAGAAAUGAUGCUCAUUUAAUCACAGGGUACUUGGUAGAUAUUUUUGCAGAUUAAUAAAUCUGCCUCAGUUGAGGACUAUUUUUGGCAUAAUAGUAAUUGUCCUUGUGGAUACAUUAGCUUAUAUAGUCCUCACAUCAGUCCUUUCUCUUUAAAGUCUUGUAACACCAAUGGCCUUGAUAUGCUAAUGCUUCCUUCAUUUAUUUUGUAUGAUUGUUCCUUCAUUUACUUUUUCUACUUUAUUGAUAAUCAUUUAGAAUUAUUGGGAUUAAUAUUCACCAAAAUUAAGCAUCUUUUCAGCAUCCUUUCCUCUUUGAGUAACUAACUGGGUUUGGCUAUCUUCUACCUGAAUGAUAAAAUUUGUUUUUAUAAGUUGAGAAACCAACUAUAAACUGAGAAAAAUGAGAGAAUCUACCCCAUUGAGUUCCAUUAGUUUGUGCUUUCAAUCCAUGAAGCUUUCCAUGACAUCUUUGCAAGUAAUCAACACAAUCUAUGGUGCAUAAUCAUUCUCGUUAAUCAAUGAACCAUGCAUUGUGCGUUUGCAAUCAAUCUAUUAUUGUUGUAACCAUAAUAUUAUUAAUGUACCCUUUUGAAAUACUGCCACAGAUUAUGCAAAAAGACUUGGUGGUUUGCUCCAAGUAAUCAUCUAACCUUACGAACAUACGAGGUCUUCGUCAACAUUCAAUAAUGGCUACUCUAUUACUAAAGUGACCGAAUUACUUGUCUUAGAUGCCUGACCAUGAUGAUAAUUGAAUCAAUGUCGAAUUCUUCCAAUAUUGAAACACAUAAGAUGGCAAUUAACAAUUAUCUGAUUAGUUAUCUUAACCAAGGUUACCGCACAUUACUUAGAGUUACUUAUUCUUUAUUGCCUACUCUAUAACCCGUUAUUUUCUUAGUUCUACUGAUCUUACUGUACCCUUUGACUAAACCUUCUUUCCAUCGUCUAUCAAGAUAACAUUGUUCUCUCUAUGUCUCAGUUAACAGUUCGAGAUUAAUGGGGGAUUUGUUUCUUUUUAUUAACUCAAUAAGAUCUCUUGUGCAUUUCUGCAAAAAAUAAAUUUGUAGUGAUUUCCUUAUGCGAGAUAAAUAUCCAGAAGAAAUAUAUCUGUAUUGUCCCACUCAUAAUUGUUAUAACCAUAUUAGGCAUCUGCAAUCUACAGUCAUAAUAGAUCUGAGCAAUAGCAAAGAUUCCUAUAGUCGUAAAGGAUUACAACCUGAACAAGGGGCUUGUCGGAGGGAUCAAUGGACAAUUAAUUUUCAGAUUUCAUUAUGUGAUCCCUUAUAGAAAUCAUUCCUGUUUCCUUUUACAAUAAAUCAUAUGAAGCAAUACUCUUCUACACAAAUCCUUUGAUAUGGAUAGAAGAAAGCAUUUUAGUUUUACUUUGUAUGCAUUUGAAGGAUUCAUUGGCAUCAUGAUAGUUUAUGAGUUCCAACUCAUUGCUUAGCUGCGGUGAAAGAAAAGAUGAACAACAUGUUGGAUUAUUUCCUUUAAGCUAUAUAUAGGUAUUUUUCUACAAUAAGCUAUAUAUAUAUAUAUAUAUAUAUAUAUAUAUACACCUUUGACAGAGCAGAACGAUGGAACAAGAUUCAUGUAGCCAAUCCCAAAUAGUUGGAAUAAAGCUUGGAUGAUGAUGAUGAAGCUAUAUAUUGUUAUUUAUAUCUGUUGCUUUUCACAUUGAGAUCUGCCUAUCAGGGAAGAUUUGUUGGAAAUUAUACAGUUCAUUUCAUAUAACUUGGAAACAAAUAUCUUCGAAAGCAUUGCCAAACAAAGACCCAUUGGUGAUCAUAAACACCCCUUUAACAAGUAGAUGUUUGAAGGUUGAAUAGUUGUUUAUUUUCCCGCUCAAAUUCUGC
rnacentral:lncRNA from 1 species